rnacentral:rRNA from 1 species
UACGUAGGGUGCGAGCGUUGUCCGGAAUUACUGGGCGUAAAGAGCUCGUAGGUGGUUUGUCGCGUUGUUCGUGAAAACCGGGGGCUCAACUCCAGGCUUGCGGUCGAUACGGGCAGGCUCGAGUUCGGUAGGGGAGACUGGAAUUCCUGGUGUAGCGGUGAAAUGCGUAGAUAUCGAGAGGAACCCCUGCGGCGAAGGCGGGUUGCUGGGCUGACACUGACGCUGAACUGCGAA